rnacentral:rRNA from 1 species
AACGAACGCUGGCGGCAUGCCUAACACAUGCAAGUCGAACGAGACCGUCGGGUCCAGGGGCGCACGGGUGCGUAACGCGAGGGAACCUGCACUUAGGGUCGGAAUAACCACCCGAGAGGGGUGCCAAUACCGGACAAUGGCUACAGCCCAAAGAUUUAUCGCCCUUGGAUGGGCGCGCGUUGGAUUAGCUAGAUGGUAUGGUUAAAGCAUAGCAAGGCGACGAUCCAGAGCUUGUCUGAGAGGAAGAGCCGCCACACCUGGGCUGAGAAGCGGCCCAGACUCCUACGCGAAGCAGGAGUGGGUGAUGGUGCACAGUGGACGAAAGCAUGAACGAUCUAUGACGCGUGAGUGAUGUAGUUCUUAGGGUUGUAAAGCUCUUUUACCCGUGAUGAUAAUGACAGUACCGGAAGAAUAAGCUCCGGCUAACUCCGUG